rnacentral:tRNA from 1 species
UCUUCGAUGGUCUAGUGGUCAUGAUUUCCGCUUGUCAUUCUUCUGAAUAACGAGCGCGGGAGACCGGGGUUCGAUUCCCCGUCGGAGAG